rnacentral:rRNA from 1 species
AUUGAACGCUGGCGGCAGGCUUAACACAUGCAAGUCGAGCGGAGAUGAGGUGCUUGCACCUUAUCUUAGCGGCGGACGGGUGAGUAAUGCUUAGGAAUCUGCCUAUUAGUGGGGGACAACAUUCCGAAAGGAAUGCUAAUACCGCAUACGUCCUACGGGAGAAAGCAGGGGAUCUUCGGACCUUGCGCUAAUAGAUGAGCCUAAGGCGGAUUAGCUAGUUGGUGGGGUAAAGGCCUACCAAGGCGACGAUCUGUAGCGGGUCUGAGAGGAUGAUCAGCCACAGUGGGACUGAGACACGGCCCAGAAUCCUACGGGAGGCAGCAGUGGGGAAUAUUGGACAAUGGGGGGAACCCUGAUCCAGCCAUGCCGCGUGUGUGAAGAAGGCCUUAUGGUUGUAAAGCACUUUAAGCGAGGAGGAGGCUACUGAGACUAAUACUCUUGGAUAGUGGACGUUACUCGCAGAAUAAGCACCGGCUAACUCUGUGCCAGCCGCCGCGGUAA